rnacentral:rRNA from 1 species
GAAUCAUUCACAAUGGGGGAAACCCUGAUGGUGCGACGCCGCGUGGGGGAUAAGGUCUUCGGAUUGUAAACCCCUGUCAUGUGGGACAUUAAAAAGAUAGUACCACAAGAGGAAGAGACGGCUAACUCUGUGCCAGCAGCCGCGGUAAUACAGAGGUCUCAAGCGUUGUUCGGAAUCACUGGGCGUAAAGCGUGCGUAGGCUGUUUCGUAAGUCGUGUGUGAAAGGCGCGGGCUCAACCCGCGGACGGCACAUGAUACUGCGAGACUAGAGUAAUGGAGGGGGAACCGGAAUUCUCGGUGUAGCAGUGAAAUGCGUAGAUAUCGAGAGGAACACUCGUGGCGAAGGCGGGUU